GCUUUGUUCCCAGGAGAAGCAAGAAAGCAGCCAGGGAGCGUGUGGCAACUCCCAACAGUUCUUUGUGGAUGAGAGCCGGCAUACAUAGGAUUACAUGGAGGCUUCAGGCAGCAGCAUUGGUCAAAUAGCUGACUCACACAAAGGAGGCAGCCAGUCCGAGGGAAACUUCCAAGUAACAGACAUCUACAACUGAGGAGGUCCUUCUCUCUGUCCCACCACCCACUCAAGUGUGUUUGGUGGGAACACAGGAGGCGGCCUUUUCGGUGGCUGCUCCUGGGCUGUGGAACUCCCAAGAGAAACCAGGGCGCCCCCAUCCCUACUUACUUUCCACAAGCAGGUACCUGUUUCUUUUCUCUCACAAAUGAGUGUCUUGAGCCUAUGAGGAAUCUGCUCGGAAAGAAAAAGACUGUGGUAAAUAAACCACAAGAAGAAGUAUUUUCCCCUGAAGAAUACUUAUUUCUUCUACAGGAUCUGAAAUUUCAUGCUCUGCUUUAAAGGGGAGAGUGACUUCAGUUUUCAGCGUAUUGCUUUUGUUUACUGCACAGUUCCAAUAUACGUAUAACCUUGGCUUUGUUUUCCUCUUAGGUAGUUCUACAUCCAAUUUAAAUGGGUAUUCUUUCAAUGUAUUGGAUUUGCCAUCCAAGGCUCCUCAAACAGGCAGUGAUAUCAUUUGCCACCAUAACAGUCUUUCCUUGAUUUCCUUAAUUUCAUUAUCAGACACAUUUAUCAACAUCUGUACAUGUAUUUUACUCUUUUGCUAAUUUGUUCAUUUUAUAGCAUCUCAGCUGUAGUUUUAGCUUAAGUUAUGUCUUCACCAGAAUGAAAGAAAAAGCCCACCUAGAAAGAGAGUGAAAUAGACCAAUUAAAAAUGAAAUAUAACAAGGCUACCUAAUGUAUAUAGAUUUAAGGAAUGAGAUGAGAAAUUUGAUUUGAUAAAGGGCAGAUAAAUUCCAUCAGAAUCAAUAUCUAAUUGAGUACAUGUUAUUAUCAACAUGCACUUGGGUAGGCAACUUGAUACUUUCCAAAUGUUUUUGGCUCAUGAGCCAGGGAGUAUAAGAACUGUAUGUAGUGCAAAUUAUGUAGCAGGUACUACAUUGUCCAUCUGUGACCCAAACUGCUUGAAAUAGCCUUCACAUUGUUGCUGUCACAAUUGACAUGGGCACCUUAUCUGCUGGUGUCAUUUCAUGGCAUUUCUGUACCACUAAUAGUCAGUCUGGCAUGAAAGUAAUUGAUAGAGAAUAUUUUUAGAAAAAGAUGGUCAUUAUGAGGGGAACCAUAAUGCUAGAUGUUUCUAGUUUCUAGUUAUCUCAUGAAACAAUUGUUUUUUUCACGGCAAUUUCAAGAUUUAGCUUUGUAGUCUACAAGACUUCAUUGUUGAGCCAACAAUGUGAUGCGGCUGCUAAAAAAGCCAAUGGGAUUCUGGCCUGCAUCAAUAGGGGAAUAGCGUCUAGAUCCAGGGAAGUUAUGCUCCUCCUCUAUUCUGCCUUGGUCAGACCACACCUGGAAUACUGUGUCCAAUUUUGGGCACCACAGUUGAAGGGAGAUGUUGACAAGCUGGAAAGCGUCCAGGGGAGGGCGACUAAAAUGAUUAAGGGUCUGGAGAACAAGCCCUAUGAGGAGCGGCUUAAAGAGCUGGGCAUGUUUAGCCUGCAGAAGAGAAGACUGAGAGGAGACAUGAUAGCCAUGUACAAAUACGUGAAGGGAAGUCAUAGGGAAGAGGGAGCAAGCUUGUUUUCUGCUGCCCUGCAGACUAGGACGCGGAACAAUGGCUUCAAACUACAGGAAAGGAGAUUCCACUUGAACAUCAGGAAGAACUUCCUCACUGUGAGAGCUGUUCGACAGUGGAACUCUCUCCCCGGGGCCGUGGUGGACGCUCCUUCCUUGGAGGCUUUUAAGCAGAGGCUGGAUGGCCAUCUGUCGGGGGUGCUUUGAAUGCGAUUUCCUGCUUCUUAGCAGGGGGUUGGACUAGAUGGCCCAUGUGGUCUCUUCCAACUCUACUAUUCUAUGAUUCUAUGAUUCUAUGAUUCUAGGAUGUGUACGUUUAGCCUGUUGUUACAUCUCCAUAGCUCCAUCUUUUUUUUUUCCCCUUACAAAACCCAUCUUAUAAAAGAUGCAGCUCACCAACACUGUCAUUUCCAUGUCACUGGAAAGAGAGGGAACAGUGGAGGUUCAUACAGCUUUUAUUCUGUAGCUGGACAUACUGCAACAUGUGUCCACAAGGACUCUUAGGGCUCACUGUGGAUUUCCUGCAGGGUUUAAAGCAGAAAGUUUUUAGGAUUGAACCAGGGGGUGCUAUGUAGUUUAACAGGUUUUUAAAUUGUCUCAUUGGUUUAUUAUUAUUAUUUAACAAGUCUUUUAAUAAAAUGUUAUUUAAAAAGACAUGUUAAAAUACAUAUUUAAAACCUAUUUUCAUGUUCAUUCACUUUGGGUUUUAAUGUACAUAUUGUAUAAUUUUAGUGUUAGCUAUUUUGAGUCUUUUUUGGGAAAUAAGAAGUGUAAUAAUAAUAAUAAUAAUAAUAAUAAUAAUAAUAAUAAUAAUAAUAAUGGUAUAUUAGUGCAUAUAAGUGUAAUAAUAAUAAUAAUAAUAAUAACCACCUGGCUAUGGCUCACGAAUGGUACACUAAAGGAGACAGAAGGCCUGAUUCUUGCAGCCCAAGAGCAAGCCAUCCAAACAAAUGCAAUUAAGGCCAAGAUCGAAAAGCAGCUGAUGACCCAAAAUGCAAACUGUGCAAAGAAGCUGACGAAACCAUUGAUCAUAUCCUCAGCUGCUGUAAGAAAAUCGCACAGACUACAAACAGAGGCACAACUAUGUGGCCCAAAUGAUUCAUUGGAAUUUAUGUCACAAGUACAAUCUGCCAGUAGUAAAGAACUGGUGGGAUCGCAAACCUGCAAAAGUAUUGUGGAAAAGAAAAAGUUUGGAUUAUUGAUGUCACUAUACCAGGUGACAGUCGAAUUGAUGAAAAACAACACAAAAAAUUAAACCGUUAUCAAGACCUCAAGAUCAAACUGCAUAGGCUCUGGCAUAAACUAGCUCAGGUGGUCCCGGUGGUAAUUGGUGCACUGGGUGCCAUGCCAAAAGAUCUCAGCUGGCAUUUGGAAACAAUAAACGUUGACAAAAUUACGAUCGGUCAACUGCAAAAGGCCACCUUACUGGGAUCUGUGCGCAUCAUCCGAAAAUACAUCACACAGUCCUAAACGCUUGGGAAGUGUUCAACGUGAUUUUGUGAUAUGAAAUCCACCAAAUAUAUCUCGUUUGAAGUCACACUGUGUCUUUGUGUCAAUAAUAAUAAUAAUAAUAAUAAUAAUAAUAAUAAUAAUAAUAAUAAUAAUAAUAUCUUUGCAGUGUAUCCAGUUACAGAAAAAUGACUGGAUACAUUUCUAUUUCUCCCCUGUUUUCCAAUUGCAUGCAAAAAGCAGUGGGAGGAGGGGCAGAGAGGGAGUCUAUAUUGCUUGAAAGUAGUUAGAAGCAUUUUGAAAUUAUGACUUCCACAAUCAGCCAAAAGAGAGGGUUAUGGUAUCAUAAAUUGGAUUUAAACUCAUAUCACGGCUCACUGAUAGGAUGUCUGCCAUAACUCUAUGCAGAACCGUUUUCCAAUAAGACAGCUGCAAACAUAGGUUAAACGGUCGGAAUAAAAUCUACUGCCCCUAUCAUGUUAUCAUUUGCCAACAUUCUUAUGUCCUAUUUUGCAAAAUCGUCUAUUUUAUAGUUUCAUAAUUUUGUUUAGUCUACAGUCUAUAGGGCACUUGCUGAAGAUAAGCAAUUUAGGUGGGACCUCUCCUUGCUUGAAAGGGAACCUGCUUAAGGAGCCCCUAAUGGAUACCAUUUGCAUUCUAUAGGUCGGAAUAAAAUCUACUGCCCCUAUCAUGUUAUCAUUUGCCAACAUUCUUAUGUCCUAUUUUGCAAAAUCGUCUAUUUUAUAGUUUCAUAAUUUUGUUUAGUCUACAGUCUAUAGGGCACUUGCUGAAGAUAAGCAAUUUAGGUGGGACCUCUCCUUGCUUGAAAGGGAACCUGCUUAAGGAGCCCCUAAUGGAUACCAUUUGCAUUCUAUAGGUGGGGUAUACAUUUCAUAUUAAUGAAAAAAUAUAAAGGCAAUUCUUAAUAAAUCAACCAACAAAUAAAUAAAUAUAUCUUAGCUUUAGCUAUGUCUAGUCUCUAGGAAGCAUUCUAAUAUGUUUUUCUUAAAAGCUAAACUGUACAGUUUAAAACAAACCAUGUUGAUUUGAAAAGCUAGGUCAAAUCUCCUUCAUGAUAAUCUAAGCAGUUUUGUUUAGGUGUUAUAUUUGUGCUUUAAGUGAGCUGGUGUUUCCAAGCCCUUCUUUGAGCAAAAACAACUUGCUGCUUUCUCAGAGCCGCAUACAAAUUCAUUUCUCAUCUGAGGGUUGCAAGCAAAGAUGACACUUUGUAAAUUGUUCAUUAAGAGCUAGAUUGGGGCCACAAACUAAUUCCAGGCAUGCCAGUCAAAGGCCAUUAGAACAAUGGUGAUGCAGAUACAUUUGCAUUUUAGCCAUGCUUGGAAGUGAACUUGACACAAACCUGGUCGGCUUAUAUGAGCAGCCUCUUGAGUCAUCCAGUUCCAUUCAGGGACAUUUUUGAUGUACAUUGAAUUUAGCUAAUUGUAUGAAAAUAAAUCAUUUCGGACAUUUAGCCUUUCUUAAUGUAGCCUCAAUUUGUAUAUUGUGUUUUGUUACUGUCUGUAUAAUUGAGAACAUUUGAGGAGUUCACAAAACAACCAUUUGAAUAGCUCAUAACAUAGCCAAUUUGAUAUGCUAUAGUCAGAUUAUACAAUACGUAUUGCAAAGCCAGGCAUACUUUACAAAGUAUGUGGAACAUGUUGUUUUCCGGAUAUUCCUGGACUGUAAUGUCCAUUAUACCUCCUCAUUCUCUGUUGGGCAUCUGGAAGUUGCAAUCUACCAAUAUCUGAAGGGUCACAUUUCCCGUCAUCUUUACUGUUCAUGCUAGCUAAGAUAUAGCCCUAGCUCUUACCAUUCCUUUUUUAAAAUAUACAUUCAAAAGAACAAAGAUAGUGGCAUUCCCAUAUUCUAAGAGAUUUUGGCAGGAAUUAUGUUGACAUAUAUAUGUGUAACUCAAGACUACAUGUAUGUAUGUUGGGGUAGGCAAUGAGGGUGGGGGGCAGUAGGCUUUCCCCCAUCUCAUAGCAAUCCCAAUUUCCUUGUGAAACCUCCAAUCACCAUUUUGAGAGGGACUGCAGACGGGAAUUGAAUACAGGGCAAUGUGGGGUUCGGGGUGGUAUUUUUAAAUGAUUCCACAAAAUUGGGGUGGUCCUGAGUAUUUUGGGGAAACAAAAAUUGCCCAACAAUCAUGUUGUUGUUGUUGAUAACUAAUUCAUGGAAUAUCUUGCACUCCACAUAAUUCACUAUUUUAAUUAUUGUCUUUUCAGGGUAGAACUGUGAACAUCUCAAUUCGAAGUGAAGGCAAAAAGCAUUUCCAUCUAUUUGAUUUGCCUUUACAACAUCACCUAAGCAGUUCUGAUUGGCUACAUGACAAUGUUUCCUAUACUUUAAUUUAGCUUCAUGAGGGGGAGGGCUACGAAUUUUAAAUACCAUUUUAAGUGUAUUUAUUGUAUUUUAAUUCUGUUUUUGCCUCACUGUUACUAUUUAAUUGUUCGUUUAACUUUUGUAUUGCACUUUUUAAACUUGUCUAGCAUGGAAUUGUGAACCAAAAAGGCUUACUUCUGAAUACAGAUGGAUGAAACUGCAUGUUUAAUGUCAAUGAAUGUCAAGGAUUUCAGAAAUCCAGGAAGAAAUAUCUCCAGUAGACGCAUAGCAGGAACAAAUAUCUAAAUCAGGCUCUUUGUCACUUUUACAGUAAGCCUUUCUGCAUUUAGCCUAGAAUGUUUCAGCCAACAUAAGAUGCUAAAAUAUCCCCUUCACCCCAAUGAAACUUCAUCCAUCUUGCUAUAAAAAAAGAAUAAAUCUGAAUAUGUUAUAA